UACGUAGGGUGCAAGCGUUAAUCGGAAUUACUGGGCGUAAAGCGUGCGCAGGCGGCUCCUUAAGUCAGAUGUGAAAGCCCCGGGCUUAACCUGGGAACUGCGUUUGAAACUGGGGAGCUGGAGUGUAGAAGAGGGGGGUGGAAUUCCAGGUGUAGCAGUGAAAUGCGUAGAUAUCUGGAGGAACACCGAUGGCGAAGGCAGCCCCCUGGGCUAACACUGACGCUCAUGCACGAAAGCGUGGGGAGCAAACAGG
rnacentral:rRNA from 1 species